CCUACGGGAGGCAGCAGUGAGGAAUAUUGGUCAAUGGACGCAAGUCUGAACCAGCCAAGCCGCGUGGGGGAUGAAGGUUCUGUGAAUUGUAAACCUCUUUUGUAAGAGAGUAAAUGCCGGUACGCGUCUCCGUCUGAGCGUAUCUUACGGAUACGCCUCGACUAACUCCGUGCCAGCAGCCGGGGUUAUACGGAGGAUUCGAGCGUUAUUCGGAUUUAAUGGGGUUAAAGGGUGCGGAGGCGGUCGGUUAAGUUAGGUGUUAAAUCCCGAGGCUCAACCUCGGAACUGCCGUUGAUACUGGUAGUCUAGAGUGGGGGAGAAGUAGGUGGAAUGCACGGUGUAGCGGUGAAAUGCAUAGAGAUCAAGCAGAACACCGAUUGCGAAGGCAGCUUGCCAGAUCAAAUCUGACGCUGAGGCACGAAAGCGUGGGGAGCAAACAGGAUUAGAUACCCGUGUAGUC
rnacentral:rRNA from 1 species